rnacentral:rRNA from 1 species
GGUCAAGCUACAAAGGGCUCACGGCGGAUACCUUGGCACACAGAGGCGAUGAAGGACGUGGUUACCUGCGAUAAGUCUCGGGGAGCUGGAAGC